CACCUAUAGAUCCAUGAGUUGCUUGGUUUGUUGAGUUGGUGGUAGCAGAAGUUCUCUGCCCUCCAUCUUCCACGAACCUUUUGAGCAGUCGCUAUCUUCACUUCCGUCAAGAUUAAGAUCGAUCAACAAGUUCUUGUCUCUUUUGUGAUGCUGAGGGUUUUGCCAAGCGGCUAUUCCUGCCGGCGGAUCUAGACUCUAAGCGGCAACGCGCGCAUGAUAAAGAAGCUCACGCUCUACGACAACAGCUUCUUUCUUGGGUCUUGCUCUCUUACUGCAACAAGUUCCUAGACAUGUCUCCCCCCAGAUAGUUGCAAUUACCGAAAUAUCCUCGCAUGUGGUUCCAAGUGCAACGAUGGAAAAAGCUCUCAAGAAUUUCCAUCUCAUAUAUAUUGCUGCUUUUUUUCUUUUUUCUUUUUUCUUUUUUUUUUUUCAGUUUAUUGUUGACCUAAUGAAUGUACGGUUGGUUUGGCAAUGGUAUGUAUGAAAGAUGAUUAAUGCUCAUUUUCUUUGCUGCUCUCUCUGGAAUUUGCAGAUAAGAAUCUGUGUAUGAUGGAUUUUGGCCCCUUUUUUUUGUUUUAUUUUUCUUCUGUUUUCAACUUCUUUUGUGAGUUUAGAAUAGGAAAAGCUGUGUUUAUCUUGAUGGCAGAAGAGAGAAGACAAUUAGACAAGAUAUAUACCUGUUUGGACUGACAUGUAUUUGACUGAGAUCUUGUUCCAUCCAAUAAACAUCAGAAGAUGCAAGUA